GCCCACGCACAGUAUUUUAUUACGUCAGCGAGGUCGGGCUACACCUAUGACCUAGUAUCUCACCUGUUUACCAACCGUGCGUGCGUGCGCGUCAGUCAGAAGCUCGGAUAUGGAUAGGGCAGCCGCCGAGGAGAUGUGCAGUGCGGCCGCGGCCGGCGUCCUAGAGCACGCCGGUGAAGGCGUCUCCGGCCUCCGGGGAGGGCAGGGUCUAACGCGCGCUAGCUAGCUGCACCGCUGGCCCGGCCGUCGUGUCUCGCCCGCAGUCGCACCACCAUCAGAUCGAACGUCGUCAGAUCCAUAUCCAGGGAGGACCGACUAUUUGCUUAUGCUUAUGUUCUAUGAUAGGAGGAGUAGCAGCAAAGUACUAACAGGGUAGGAUGUGAUGCUGGAAGACAUGAUGAAGCAGCUAUCUGCCUGCCUGCCUAAAUUAUGAUGGAUUUCUGUCAGGUUUCUUGUGUUGCAUCUGAAAACAGAUCGCUGUAUCUAAGCAGAUUCUGUUCUGCAGUUUGUAUGUAGGCUCCGGACCGGAUCGGCUCCUUCCUCUCCAAAAUUUUAACGAGCCAGGGAAAGAAAGUUCUUCGCCAAAACCCUUACCUGGGAGAGGCCUUAUCCAAGGACGGGAGAAAGAAUAGACCAUCAACAAGCACCCAAUCACGGCCGCGUCCUUCUCUUCGUAUGGUAACCACUGUUGAAAUCUGAAAUCCGCUCUUAUUGGGUUUAAUGGCUGCAGGUCAUGUUUCGGUAAUGUUCAUGAGAUGAAUGCAGGCGCAAGAGUAAUUAAAAGGUAGAGCUGAUGAGUGUGGCUUUAUUCACAUGAUUUCUCCGCACGAGCAAUGUCUCCCUACACAUCUGUUUAUGAGCAUCUUCUUAUAUGUGGUCAUGAUCCUCUUUUAUCAUUUUAUAUCUAUCCAUGAUCUAAUGCUCGUUGCAUUGCAGCCUACGGCAUAUGAUCUUGUUCUCGUCGUAUGGCAUCAGUCGGCACCCCUGUGAAACGUACGUCUUACACCCUGAAAGUAGAUCCAUUCCUUAGUGUGAUAUUGGUAUACUCAUCUUUACUACUCCCGUUCCAUAAUAUAAGAGUGUUUUUGACACUACACUAGUGUCAAAAACACUCUUAUAUUACCUAUUUUAUUACAAUAGCAUUUUACCUAUUUCUCCCCGUUGCCUUGCUUCAGUGUCAUAUCACCUAGCUGCCAGGCUGACGUGUGUAACUAGAUGUUCACCUAACUUGUCAGAAUCCCUACAACUUAAAACAAAUUACAAAAACUGAAAAGGCACCCUCAUUCAUAACAAGGCCAAGAUAUGCAACAUGCUGAGUAACACAACACUAGUUAAAGGUCCCAACAGGGGAAGACCAGAGUCCAUGUAUCAGAACAACAAUUUUGAUUUCAGCCACCCCCAGAACACGCUGUAGAGGUCUCCAUAACUUUUCUUUUUCUUGACCGAAGGAGCGCACAGCUCCCAAAGACAUCCAGCAGUUCCUCAAGUGUCUCAUACAUGGCCUAAAUGAUUUACUUGCCGCUAACCAACAAAUUAGCCAAGGAUAAUUUUGUCCUAACUUCUCUAUAAUUAUAUAAUUUGGUCAUUUUGCUGAAAAUAAUACCCCUUACAUAAAGGGAUGGAGAGAUUACAUAGCAGAGCUUGCUAUGACAAAGGAACCAAUCAAAUCCCCAUCCGGGGCACCUACCCCUCAUGGUCUCUUGUCGUUAAGUCAUUUGCCCUACAUAGGGCCGACCCUGGUCUUGAGUUGUGGGAGUUGGUAUCAACAAAAGGCAUCUCUCAAAUGGAUUUGAUCGUCUAUCGUGACUAAGUAGAAGCAUCGGUUCCACAUAGUGAGAGCCUAGUCUUGCAUAGGCGCAAGCAAAAUUGUAGGCGCUCAUCCUUACAGGUGAUUACCGCUAGCUUUUAAAUCCAACCUCUAAGGAAAACAUUGUAAAAAAGAGAGAAUGAGAUUGAUUUGCACCUCGUGACCAACUUUCAACUUGAUGGACAUCAAGUUUGUAUUGUAGAAUACCGAACCACUUCAACUUUUAUUUUCACAACACUAACUUUCGUCUAGUUUACACAUGGGUUUCCACUUAAACAAGCAAACCUUCAACCGGUCUAAAAUCCAACUUUCAAUCGAAUAACUUGGGGAAUUUUACUAGGAAGUCGAUAGCUUUUAGAUGCGACUCUAUAAUCUCCCAUGUUCAUCUACAUUUCAACCAAGACCACAAAUGAUGUGGCACAUGUACCAUAUCUACUAAUUUCCAUAAAAAAACUCAAGCUAGAGUUGUCCAACUCCAAUGCAAAAGGCAUCAACAAAAUUUUCACACAGAAUAGUGAAGUCCCUUUGGGACAAGCAGAACAAGGCAAAAAAGAAAAAGGAAAUGACCAACCAAUGCAAACUAUUUUUUUGCGAGGGAACCAGUGCAAACUACUGACACAUUGCAAGAGCAUAAAUGUUCGGUUUUAAAAUUCCAAUGAUGGUCUUCAAUGAAAGUGAUUAUAUUAUAUGAUUAUUGGCUGAUUUCUGCCAGCAUUAAACAUAUUCACAUUUUAUGCAUAUUUGCAAAAACAAAACAAAAAACAUCAUGGAAAUCAGGGAGAAUGUUAAAGGUUGAAGAUUCUAGAGGAACUAGUGUUGGAAGUGUAAUGUAUGUCAGUAUGUGCACUAAGUCUCGUUGUAUAGUCUGUACAAGAGCAUGUAUAUAUACAUCUAUAUUCAAUCACUGAGAAAGCAUGCAAUAAAUCCACAAAAAAGCCAGUUAAAUCUAACGUACUCCCUCCUUUCGGAAUUACCGCGACAAGUAAUUUAAAACGGAGGGAGUAGAUACUAAGACGGACACAUCGGUGCUACAUAAGGUAAGUAUAUGGUGAAGGAACCACACAAACUCGAUCCCCUGCCCCCCGCGUCGCCUAACCUAGGCGACACGGGGGGCGAUCUGCCGCCGCCGGCCCAAAGGCCUCCUCCCACGUCCUGUCUCCCCUGUCGCCGCCGGAGGCCACGCCCGUAGCAUGGCCUGUGAUGGCGGCGAGAGGGCUUUCCCCCUCGCGUGGUGCCCGUGUCUUCCCCUGGCGGCGGCGGCGCACGGAACUGCGGGGCACCGGCGGCGUGGAGCAGCGGGUUCCCGGCAGCGAGUGUGACAGCGGCGUCAGCACAGGCCCGAUACCGCGACAGAGGAGCCCCUGUGGCGGCGGCCUAGAUCGCGGAUCUCGCCGUACCCAGAUGGGCUUCGGCGGGCUGGCGGAUCUGGUGAUCGUCUACAGGCGGGGCAUGGUGGGCCUGACGACGCCGGCCUAGGCACCAUGGUGGUGCCAUGGUCGGCCAGGCGGUGGCGGCCUGGAUUCUCCGUCCAGUCCCCGACAGCGAUGGCGGCGGUUCGUGUACAAGUUGCUUGAUGGAGGUCCUCUGUUCAGAUCCGGGUGAAAACCUGGCCAAGGCCGGCGGUGACGGCGCUGGUAUGCGGCAUUUCCUUCUUGAAGGCAUCGCCAAUGAGAAGUUCAAGACAGCUAUCUGCUACCUCCGGGGGAAACCCUAGAUCAGUAGAUCGGAUGGCGGUGGCGCGUUGGUGUCGUUUCCUCCUUGGGGGCGUCAUUCUUGGAGGCGUACACGGGAUCGAGGGACCAGUGGGCGGCUUUCUUGGUGGAGUGGUGCUUCAUCCUACACAUUGAUAACGGCGGAUCUCGCCGGCGUGGCACAGUGGAGACUCGGCGCCCGAUGUAUGAGGAUGGACUCGCGCAGGAGGACGACGUUGUUUGGCGUCGUGGUGGCGUCGAUGGCAGAGAUAACUGGCACGGUAGAUGCAACAGUACAACUCUGAAGAUGGAUUGGUGGCAGGUGGCUGCGGCGGCCUCAUAACCGGCAGGCGUCCUGGUUGAGGAGUGCGCCGGAAUGGUGGGUGCCCCAUACCCGGCAGGCGUCCUGGUUGGGACCUCAGGUCUUAGAUGUUAGGUUUAGCUGCGAGGUCUGUUUGGUAUUAGGCCCAGACUAUCAGCAUCCCUACAUCAACUGGAUAGGAGUAGCGACAGAUGUUGCCUAAACGGUGGCUUUAGUCUUACUGUUGUACGACUUUAUAAGGUCUUAUGUGAAGAAUUAAUAAAAUGAGUGCGUGCAUCGUCCAGAUGCAGAGGCCGAGAGUCCUCCUUCAUUUCUUAAAAAAAAGGUAAAUAUUGUCCGUCCUGGAAUGUUGUCAAAGUCCGGAAACUCAGAGUCCAAAACUAGGAGGUCAAAACAAACCACAAAAAUGGAUAUGUUUGAUGUAUAUUUGAUCGAUUGGAGUGGUUUCGGCGUGGUUUUGAAUGAGACUUACACGGUGGAAAAAAAAGUUUGGACCAUUGACCUCGGCACGGCAGCCUCGACGUUGACAUGUAAUCCCUCUGCCGAGUUUUGUUGGCGACAGGCAGAGCAUCGCCUUCCCGCAGCUGUUACAUGACCUCGGGCCUCGCCGCAAGAAGACCGACGGUGGCGCAGAGGGGCUCGUGGGGCCCGAACCUGCCAUGACUGGGUUCAGUGCCAGACGGAGCACGCUCCGAGCGAACGACAGCGAGGUCAGCAGUCGCGGCCGUGCCUGGCCGAGCCGCAUCGGCGCCACGUAGAACCGCAGCAUGCCGUUGCCGGCGAGUGCCGCGCCCUGCGGUUCUCUCUGCUCCAGCACGUUACGCACAGCUCCUCCCGCCUCCGCAUCACGUUCCCGUCGACUAGCACCGCGCCUCGAAGCGCCGUGCUCCGCAACUCCCGCCCGCCGGCCGGGACCUCACCGGGAGCUUGUGCCUCGUCUGCCAUCCAUUGACGGCCGGUGCGCGCGAGCUCGUGCGCAUCCAGCGUCUUAGUGCCCGCCACUCCCGUCGAUCUACGUGGCCGCGUCCGGAUGCUGUAUUCGCCAACGUCGGAGCUGCAAAGUUCUGGGCGCGGAUACCGGCGGUCCUGGGCCCACACCAUGGUUCACCCGGAGCUAGCUCGCCCAUUGUCGUCAGGAGGUCGCCGUUUCGAGGCACAAGAUACACGGCGGGCUGGCUCACAUGGACCCUGUUCUGGCGAGGUCGACGGUCAAACCUGUGCGCGUGACCGUAGGAGUACGUAGGGUGGAGCAUAAGCUACCAAAUCAAUCGUGCCCGGCCAGUAUAAGAGCAAUCUUCAGCCAUUCGGCCCCCAACCAAAUUCGACGAAAUUCAGUAAAUUUGGACCAAAUAUAGGCGAUUUCAUUGAUAUUUGGCGAAUUUAUAUAGAUAAAAACAUAAAAAAAACCACUACUAGUUCAUGCCGAGGAGUUUGUAGAAGGCGGUGUAGUCGCCGCCGCCGCCGCCGCCGUCGUCGCCGCUCGGCGGCCCGUCCUUUGGGGCGUCCUUGCUGCAGCCCUGCCCUGGGUCGCCGCUGCGGACCGGCUGGCUUGGCGCAGCGACCUCGUCGUCGUUGUCAGAGAGCACGACGACGUCGCCCUUGUUUCGGUCGCGGCGCCGCGCGACGAUUUCUUCAAGAGCGUGGCGCUAGCGCUCCAUCUCCUGCGGGACGUAGUCCUACCGCGACCAUAAGAGGCCGCUCUCGAGGUCGGCGGCACUGGCCUCGUGCACCUUCUUCACGGGGAGGAGCGUCGCCGGCUCCUGCUUCGGCUUGACCAGGCGGGAGUGGCCGCGGGGAGGGGAAGGGACGCGGCCGCCGUCGUUGAUGACGAUGCCGCCGCGGGUGCGCUGACGCGGUGUCGCCUCCAGCUCGGGCUUGACGGGGAGGAAUGUCGCCGGCGCCGACCCGGAGGAGCGGGAGCCCGAGGACGGCGUGUCCAUGCGCCUCGGCGUCCAGGAGCUUCCACGACGGCAAGAGAAGCAGGGCGCCGGUUACUCCAGUGGUGGCUCAUUGCCACCCCCGAUGUGCUCAAGCACGGCGGAGAGAGUGCGCCCCGGCGUGCCCCACCAUUGACGACGGCCCUCCGAGUUGUGGCGGCCCCCCGGCGCCAGGGCGCUGUUGGUAGACGCCAGCUGCUUGGCGCGGCGCCGCUCGAAGUACACGGUCCAGAGCGCAUGGUUCUCCGCCCCUUACCGCGGCUGCUGGCGCGCCUGCUCCGGCAUGUUCGCCCAGAUCUCCGCGUUCCGUGCCGGAGGGCAGCGGAGGCACGGGACGCUGCCUGCGCUCAACCGCCAUGCGUCGGGCACACGCAUGUCGGCCGGCGUCGGGUAGUCGGCCUCCUGCAGCAGGCGCGCCUCCCACUCGUGCAGCCAGCGGCGACCGAAGCCGUUGGCCGCGCGCCGUUGCUGGGGGAACCUCUCCGCCAUGGUUUGAGCUGUGCGGGCGAGAGAGGAAGGUGGUCGGCGAUGGGCUUGAGCUGCGCGGGUGAGAGAGAAGGCGAGAGAGAUGGCAGUGUGCGGCGAGCGGCAGCGAGGUCGAAUUUUAUAGCGGCGAGAGAGCGAGAGCAGUGUGGACGCGUGGUGGGAAAGGGCGGGACGCGCAGCGGCUCGUGGUCAAUGGAAGGCUGACCGGCGGCAGCUUUGGCAUUGAUUCGCGCAGGAGCCGAGGCGAGGAGGACGACGAAGCCUAGUCGCUGACUCGGCGGGCCCACUGGAUGGGAAUUUGGCGCGGGAAGUUUUGGUGCCAUUUUCCUUUCCCCCGGCGCCCCCGGUCGCCCCCAGCGCGUUGGGUUCGGCCUGGGUCCGCCGGCGCCAGUUUUGACCCAAACCAACGAAUUUUGGGCUCCUCGGAGAGCGACUGGGCGGUUUUUUUGGCACCGGCGAUAAAAAAAUGUUGUCCUAGGGGGCUCUUGGGGUGGGUGGAGAUGCUCUAAGCAUGUUUUGCCAGCGAAAAUGCUAGACUCUCGGGCUCUUACUGACUAUUACAGACUCUUUCCAACUGAUCAAAUUUGCCCCCCCCCCCUGAAUUUCAGCUUGGCCGGGUGAAGAUGCUCUAAGCAUGUUUGCCAGCGAAAAUGCUAGACUCACGGUCUCUUACUGACUAUUACAGGCUCUUUCCAACUGAUCAAAUCCCCCCCCUGAAUUUCAGCUUGGUAAGCCCCCUCAUCUUGAUUCCACCCAAUAAGAAAAAACCCACAUCAGCCUCUCUGUGAACCCCGUAAAAUGAUGCCUGUGUGUAGCAUUGCUCUGUUUGUGAGUGUCCGGCUUUAUUAUUUCUAGAGCAAGGCAUCAUGGUUUUACUAAAAUUAAAUAGGAAUUACGUCACUCAUAUCCUGUCUAAACACAAUACAACUCAGAGUCCAACUGUAACCUACCUUGUACUUCAUAUUUGACACAAUUCCAACACUCGUCGAGGUGAUGUUGUCUGUGCACCCUUGAUUUGGGGCAGCAAAAUGGCUUUCCAUAGGAGGAAUUUACUGUUAGGUUGAUCUCUCUCCCGUUCGAGCCCAACGGGUCGAACGGGCCCUUGCAUCGCGCCCUGAUCGGGGGUGCCCAACCAACCCAUGGUUGGUGGGACCUUGUGACCCGCGCUAUAUAAACAGAGGUGGGGGCCGGGGCACGACUGACGAGGUUAAUCGCUGCCACAAACCCCACCGACACUCCCUGUCGAUCUAGGGUAUACCUGGCCAUACUUCGGGCCGGGCCGGGCCUAGCCAAGCCCGACGAAAAAAACCCAGGCCCGAGCCCGGCCCGGCCCGGCCAUCGGGCCUGUUUUCUAGGCCCGAGCCCAGCCCGAACAUGUAAAAGCCCGUCAGGCUCCGGGCCGGCCCGGCCCGACCUUCAGAGAAAUGCAAAAAAGACGGGCCCGGGCCCGGCCCGGCCUUCGGGCUCAAAAUCUAGGCCCGAGCCCGGCCCGGGGGCAGCGUCGGGCCGGGCCGGGUCGGGCUUUUUCGGGCCGGGUCGUGCCGGGCCGGGCUUCCCAUGGCCAGGUAUGAUCUAGGGUUAGCGCGGUGCUCACGGGAAGCACACCACCGCCGCCAUCUCUCUGCUAUCACCGGCCGCUACUUCACCAUGGCCGGCACCGGCUCGAGUUCAUCAACCCAAGGAGAAGGUAGGUUCACUGAAAUGAUCUAACCGACCCGAUCCAAAGGAUCUACCAAUGGUGUCAGCCAGAUUGGUUAGAUUUUUUCGGUUGAAAAGAAAUCACAGAAAGUUUUCCCCUCCCAAGAACCCUAAUCAGAGGGCAAAGGAAAGAUUACCGGCAGAGGGCCUCGGGCCUCGCCGGCAAAGUGCACCGCCACUCCGGCCGCGCCGUUCCUCUCGAUCCCCACACGCAUCGACAAGCUGAGGUGCGGGGAAGAAGAACAAAGCCUCCCCAAGGGGUCAAAAGGGCACCACCACCGCACCGCUUGACGACGGCGCGCUCUCCCUCGGGAGCUCGCGCACACCGGCAAGGGGGACAGAGGGGGCACCGCUGCUUCACGCCGUCGUUGUCCUCGGUGAACACAGAGAGGAGACGUGGGUGGUGGAGAACCAGAGAAACAAGGAAGGGGAAGAAGAGAUGGCAGGAGCCCAGGCUCGCGCGGCGCGGUGGUUUUGAUGCCGUUGCCGGCGGCCGGGGCGAAGCUCCUCCACCGGCGCCGUCGCGCGUAGUGGAGCAGAGGAGGGCUCAGCCCCGCCUCUCUCUCUCUCUGUUACAGGAGGGUGCAGGGAGGAACGGAAGGCGAAGUGAAAAGGAGGCCCGCGCGGCGCGGUGGCCGGUCGACGCCGGCGCCGGCGCCCUGGGCGCGGCGCGGUGCCACGGCGAGCGGCACAAAAACGAAGGGCGAGAGAGAGAUCGAAGAGAGAACAGAAUGGGGGCGCUAGGUUUCGGGUCGGGGGACUCUGUCCCGUUUUUGUUCGAGCGCAAAGCGCGCCACACCGUCCAAUCAAAUCCGACGCCGUGGAUUGAAACCCUAGCGCCGAAGCGGGCCAGCUAGGCCGCCAGGCCGAAAGUGGAGGCGAGGCCACAUCCGCGCGCUGGGCCGGGCCGUUUUCGGCCAGGCGCAACGCGCUGAAGCGCAGAGCGCGCGCGAGCAGGCCACGGUCCUGUUGCAAAAAAAUUUAUAUAGUUUUCUGUCCAUUUUUUGGGCAGAUUUACAAUAGCUUUUCUAUACAAAUUUUUCCAACGAAAAAUCUGUUUAGAAAAUAGAAAAGAAAAAAGUAAACUGAAAAAGUUCUGAAAAUGAAAAUAGAAAAUUUUCAGAAAAAGAAAAGUUCAUGAAUUUUAUAAAGAAAAUUAAAAAGUUCAUGAAUUUUUAUUUAGUCAAAGAAAAGUUUCUAUAAUAUGUAAAAAGUUCAUGAAUUUUUUAUUCAUGUUUUUCCGCUGCGUAAAUAAUUAACAGUGCUCUUUUACAAAGAAAAUAAAAGUUAAGAUAGAAUUAUAUUUAAAGGGCAUAUUAAAGUAAUUAUUGAAAUGAACUGAUUAUGUUAUUUUUAUGACCAACGUUGUUAAUAACAUGAUCAUGUUUUAUUAUUGAAAAAAAAAAGCUCUUUUAAAAGUGAAUAGAACUAAAGUAAAAGAUUAAGUUGUUGCUUCUCUAAUGCAUUUUUUAACCAAUCGGUUACAAUUGCUUAGAGAGUAAAAGAGUACAGAAUUGUUUUUUGAAUAGAAUAUUGUAAAGUUUCCGCUGGAAAGUAAAAGUUUUAUCCUCCAAUUAAAUUGGAACCAACGGGAAAAUUUAAUUGGAAGAAAUGCUUUUAGCAAUGUUUUUCCCCUGUGGGUGAAAUAAGAUGUAGAUAGUUUCCGCUAUGACAAAAGAAAGAUAUUUUUUUAAGUUAAAAUAUGGUAUUGUUACUUUCUGACCAACGUUGAUGAUAACAGUGCUAUAAUUCUAUGAGUCUUAUGUUCAAAGUUUAAAUCUCUGAUAAUUUUUGUAUCAAAGUGAUUAAUUUUUAGAGAACAAAUAAAGAUCAAGAAAUGCUCUUGAACUAGAUAAAUGUAUAUUUCUUGUUCCCGCUGCAAUAAAGUUGAUGAUGAUGAUUAAUUCUUAGCAAAGUUGUUUAAUAGAAAUACCAGCAUCACAUUGUUUAUGAGUUAUAUGCAUUAUUUCCAUUUCCGCCCAAUGGUGAUAUGGAAUUAAUGUAGAAGGAUGGUGUUUAUUCUAAUUCUGCCACAACGGUGUUUUAGAAUAUAAAAGAAAGUUUCAAAAGUUUAAUGUGCAUUUUUUUAACCAGACCAACGUAGGGUUAUUUUUAUGCCCAUUAUUGUUGAUUAUUGGCUAUGUUUUCUCAGACUAAAAGUUUUCCAUGCUUUCAUUCGUGAAAGCGAAUGGCUGGGUACUUGUGACCCGAAAGAUGACCAAGAAAGGUCAUAACGUGAGGGAGUAUGUUCUCUCUAAAGAAUGGCAUCAAAAGAAAAGAAAUAGAUCAUUGAGAGUCUUGGUUGAUGAAUGUCUUUCAUGUACUCUCUGUGAAGAAGUUUUUUCAGUCAACAUGAUUUGAGAUGAAACAAGCAACAUGCGUGUUUAAUUUGACCAA